rnacentral:lncRNA from 1 species
UACCACCUGUCCACUUCUUUCCUGGGUGCAGCUCACCACAAACUUUAAAAAUCACCUGAUUCACAUUCACUUUCCCAGUUGCCCUGAAAGAUCCUGGCAGGCUCACAGCACCGGAGCUGAUG